rnacentral:lncRNA from 1 species
AGGCAUAUAGGUGUUGCUUCCAGAUUUCUACAGAUUUUCUCUUGCUCUAGACAAGGGAUGGCUUUUCUAGUAUGGCUCUUGAUAAGCCAACACUUCCAUAGGUUUGUGGAGUUCUCGCAUUUUUCCAUUUCAGGCCACCUGUGAGCCUCAGAUAUCUGUUUUGCGGAGGAAUGCAUGCUCAGAGUCUUUGGCUACAAUGGGGUGACCUGAUAUGUGAAUGUAUGAUUGAUAUCUUUCACCUUAGCUUAUUCAAUUGUGAUAUCUUUUUGCAUGCUGAUGCAUCGCUCACUAUCAAUGUGUUGCUAAUGAAAUGAUCACUGAUAUUUUCUUUGCACACUACACACAUACAGAGGUUGUUUACUUGUCAAAGCCUAGCUAAUGGUUAAAAUGUUGAAUGUCCUACUUUGAAAUGUUAAUUUAAUUAUAACUAGAGGGUAGAAGAAGCUUGCACUAGGCAUGAAUAUAAUUGGGCAUUUUCUAUAUAACUGAACAACUGAUGACCACAUAUAUUAACUAAUUAACUAGUAGUAACAUAAUUAAGCAGUCUAAAUGUUUAAAGAAGCAUCUGUUUUUCAGACAAAUUUAACAGAACCUAGAACCGAAUGAAGUAGACAUUGCAGCUGAAAAGACUUUAGUUUCUGAUGAGGACACCUAACUGGAAAGUAUUCACUUUCUUCCACAUUAUUAGCAACACCUCAUGCUAGUUUACAAUUUGUGAUAUUUAUUGAUCGAUUGGAUUAACCUUUAAGUUCAUCUAGUACCUGCCAUGACUGCUUUGAACAAUGCUGUUCCAGUACUUGGGCUUGUACUACUUACAAGUUACAUGAACAUUUUUUCACUUUAUGGUUGUAAGCUUACACAUGAAAGUUGUCAUUGCUUUGUGGCUAGUGCAUCAAUGCUCAGCAAUGAUCAAUAGCACAAGGUCCAAAUGGCUCUUGGAAGAACAUGGCCACAUUAAAGCCGGAAUGACACAAGGCAUGGUUAUCCACGGAAUAUACGUUUUAUGCAUAUAUUCCCCAAUUCCGAGUUAUGAUCUAUACACAAGUAAAUAGAUUUUAUGCACUUUAUUGGCAUGUUAUACUUCUUUUCUAAUUGAGAAUCUUAUUUAUCCUUAUUUCAACUGUUAUCGGUGUCCUCUACGUCACCAUGUCUCUAGAGCUGGAGACCUUGGAUAACAGUUUUGGAUGGCCAAAUAUCUUUCAGUUGGGCAAAGGUAUCAUCGUCUGUGAAACUUUUUGGCUUCAAUCUGAUGUUUAAUCGAUGUGGAAUCCGGUGCUCAUUUGAAGCAUGUUCCUCGCAUGUCAAAACCCUGGUUUUGAAAAGCUGAAUAGCUUGCUGAACUUAUGAUUUCUUUCCCCUUCCAUUUUUAUUUGUUAGUACUGUUUAGUUUGACAUUUACGACCUCUAAACCCCGGGCUAGUCUGUUUCAUUUUACUCUCCUUAUUUUAACAAAAUCUCUUAAUUAUCCGGUGCAAUAUGUGAAAGGUUGUGUAAGUGGCAGCUUAGUCUGGCUUAACUUUUGAUAAUCAAGAUCUUAUAAACUUUUUAUGCCUCA